rnacentral:rRNA from 1 species
UACGGAGGGUGCAAGCAUUAAUCGGAUUUAUUGGGCGUAAAGGGCGCGUAGGCGGAUGAGAAAGUUAAGUGUGAAAUUCCGAAGCUCAACUUCGGAGCGGCACUUAAAACUUCUCGUCUCGAGGAUUGGUGGAGAAAAUGGAAUUCCACGUGUAGCGGUGAAAUGCGUAGAUAUGUGGAAGAACACCGGUGGCGAAAGCGAUUUUCUAACUUAUACCUGACGCUGAGGCGCGAGAGCAAGGGGAGCAAACAGG